rnacentral:rRNA from 1 species
CACAAAUUUCUUCCCGGGAAGAAGUCUUUUUACACGGUGGGCCUGGCGGCCACCUGUUGGGCGAUAUGGUUGGCGCGCAAUCGUGCCACUUUUGAAAAGAAACAAAUCAAGACUCCUUUUGAGAUUGUGUUUUCUCUGUGCUCCUUUCUGUUAUACUGGGCAGGUCUACAGCAAGGGGAUGCCGCCAGGGAGCUGCGCACGGGAGCGGAGAUGAUCAGGGCUAGCACAAUGCAGCUGAUGAAGAUGUGCGACGCCGCCAAGCAAGCGAUCCAGGGUGCCUGA